rnacentral:rRNA from 1 species
GACGAACGCUGGCGGCGUGCUUAACACAUGCAAGUCGAACGGAAAGGCCUUUUCGGAGGUACUCGAGUGGCGAACGGGUGAGUAACACGUGGGUGAUCUGCCCUGCACUCUGGGAUAAGCCUGGGAAACUGGGUCUAAUACCGGAUAGGACCGCACUUUAGUGUGUGUGGUGGAAAGUUUUUUCGGUGUAGGAUGAGCCCGCGGCCUAUCAGCUUGUGGGUGGGGUAAUGGUCUACCAAGGCGGCGACGGGUAGCCGGACUGAGAGGUUGGUCGGCCACAUUGGGACUGAGAUGAGGCCCAGACACCUACGGGAGGCAGCAGUGGGGAAGAUUGCAGAAUGGGCGCAAGCCGGAUGCAGCGGGGCCGCGUGGGGGAUGACGGCCUUCGGGUUGUAAACUCCUUUCGCAAGGGACGAAGCGUUUCGUGACGGUACCUGGAGAAGAAGCCCCGGCUAACUACGUG